rnacentral:rRNA from 1 species
GCAUGUACUAACCGGUGCGAGCAUACCAGGACUAAUUAGAACUCCGCAGUUAAGCGUGCUUGGGAGAGAUUACUACUAGGAUGGAUAACCUACCAGGAAGUUCUCGUGUUGCACCCA